rnacentral:rRNA from 1 species
UUGACUGUACAAAGGUAGCAUAAUCAUUAGUCUUUUAAUAGAGGGCUGGAAUGAAAGGUUUAACGAGGAACUGACUGUCUCAUUUUAUUUGUUUUAAAAUUUAAUUUUUUAGUUAAAAAGCUAAAAUUUUAUUGGUAGACGAGAAGACCCUAUAGAGCUUUACAUUUAAUUAAUUAAAUAUUUUUAUAUUAAUAUUUUUAUUUGAUUUUAUGUUUUGUUGGGGUGACAAAAAUAUACAUAUAACUUUUUUAUAUUAUUUACAUUGAUUUAUGAAUAUUAGAUCCAUUAUUAUUGAUUAUUAGAUUAAGUUACCUUAGGGAUAACAGCGUAAUAU